UGUAAGUGUAGCAGUGAAGACAACUUCUCC
rnacentral:piRNA from 1 species